UCGGCCCCGGGCCCCCGCGGAGCCCGCCGUCCGCGCCGCCGCUGAGGCCGGGCGCCCCCACCAUGCCGCGGGCCCCGGCGCCCCUGUACGCCUGCCUGCUCGGGCUCUGCGCGCUGGUGCCCAGCCUCCCAGGUCUUAACAUAUGCACUAGUGGAAGUGCCACCUCGUGUGAAGAAUGUCUGUUAAUCCAUCCGAAAUGUGCCUGGUGCUUCAAAGAGGACUUCGGCAGCCUGCGCUCAGUCACCUCCAGGUGUGACUUGGAGGCAAACCUGGUCAAAAACGGCUGCGGAGGUGAGUUUGAGAGCCCAGCCAGCAGCACCCGGGUCCUGCGAAGCCUGCCUCUCAGCAGCAAGGGCUCCAGUCCCACGAGUUCGGAUGUCAUUCAGAUGACGCCCCAGCAGGUUGCCCUGAGCCUGCGGCCCGGCGAUAAGACUACCUUCCAGCUGCAGGUUCGACAGGUGGAGGAUUACCCUGUGGACUUGUACUACCUGAUGGACCUCUCCCUGUCCAUGAAGGAUGACUUGGACAGCAUCCGAAACCUGGGCACCAAGCUGGCUGAGGAGAUGAGGAAGCUCACCAGCAACUUCCGGUUGGGGUUCGGGUCUUUUGUAGACAAGAACAUCUCCCCUUUCUCCUACACAGCACCGAGGUACCAGACCAAUCCAUGCAUUGGUUACAAAUUAUUCCCAAACUGCGUCCCAUCCUUUGGGUUCCGCCAUCUGCUGCCCCUUACAGACAGAGUUGACAGCUUCAAUGAGGAGGUUCGGAAACAGAGGGUGUCCCGGAACCGCGAUGCUCCCGAAGGAGGCUUUGAUGCAAUACUCCAGGCGGCUGUCUGCAAGGAGAAGAUCGGCUGGAGAAAGGAUGCGCUGCAUUUACUGGUGUUCACUACAGACGACGUGCCCCACAUUGCACUGGAUGGAAAACUGGGGGGCCUGGUGCAGCCACACGAUGGCCAGUGCCACCUGAAUGAGGCCAACGAGUACACAGUGUCCAAUCAGAUGGACUAUCCGUCUCUUGCCUUGCUUGGAGAGAAAUUGGCAGAGAACAACAUCAACCUCAUCUUUGCAGUGACAAAAAGCCACUAUAUGCUCUACAAGAAUUUUACAGCCCUGAUACCUGGAACAACAGUGGAGAUUUUACAUGGAGACUCCAAAAAUAUCAUUCAGCUGAUCAUCAAUGCGUACAACAGCAUCCGGUCUAAAGUGGAGCUGUCUGUCUGGGAUCAGCCCGAGGAUCUUAAUCUCUUCUUUACUGCUACCUGCCAGGAUGGUAUGUCCUACCCUGGCCAGAGGAAGUGUGAAGGCCUGAAGAUUGGGGACACGGCGUCCUUCGAGGUGUCGGCGGAGGCCCGGAGCUGUCCAGGCAAGCAGGCGGAGCACACAUUCACGCUGCGGCCAGUGGGGUUCCGGGACAGCCUGGAGGUGGGGGUCACCUACAGCUGCAGGUGCGGCUGCAGCACAGGGCUGGAGCCCGACAGCGCCAGAUGCAGUGGGAACGGGACUUACGUCUGUGGCCUGUGCGACUGCAACCCCAGCUACCUGGGCACCAGGUGCGAGUGCCAGGAAGGGGAGAGCCAGAGUGGAUACCAGAACCUGUGCCGGGAAGCAGAGGGCAAGCCCCUGUGUAGCGGGCGUGGGGAGUGCAGCUGCAACCAGUGCUCCUGCUUCGAGAGCGAGUUCGGCAAGAUCUACGGGGCUUUCUGCCAGUGUGACAACUUUUCCUGUGCCAGAAACAGAGGGGUCCUCUGCUCAGGCCACGGCGAGUGUCACUGUGGAGAAUGCAAGUGCCACGCAGGUUACAUUGGGGACAACUGUAACUGCUCAACAGACAUCAGCACGUGCUUGGCCAAGGAUGGCCAGAUCUGCAGCGACCGUGGGCACUGUGUCUGUGGGCAGUGCCAGUGCACAGAGCCAGGAGCUUUUGGGGAGACGUGUGAGAAAUGCCCGACUUGCCCAGAUGCCUGCAGCACCAAGAGAGACUGUGUUGAGUGCCUGCUACUUCACGUGGGGGACCCGGCCGACAACCAGACCUGCCAAAACCUGUGCAAGGAUGAGGUGAUCACGUGGGCGGACACCAUCGUGAAAGAUGACCAAGAGGCUGCGCUUUGUUUCUACAAAACCGCCAAGGACUGUGUCAUGAUGUUCGCCUACACAGAGCUCCCCAGCGGGAGGGCCAACCUGACAGUCCUCAGGGAGCCAGUGUGCAUUGGAGAAAACUUCCAGCACCCCCAGGUCUCCCAAAAACAGCAUGGGGAUCUAAGACAGAAGAGAAGGAAGGUGUUUGGUAGAAGGUGGAAGGAAGAGAGAGUGUGGAACUGCCCCCAACGCCACGACCAUCCUCCUGGCCGUGGUUGGCAGUAUCCUCCUGAUUGGGAUUGCGCUCCUGGCCAUCUGGAAGCUGCUCGUCACCAUCCAUGACCGGAGAGAGUUUGCCAAGUUCCAGAGUGAGAGGUCCAGGGCCCGCUAUGAAAUGGCUUCCAACCCUCUGUACAGAAAGCCCAUCUCCACACACACUGUGGAUUUCACCUUUAACAAGUUCAACAAACCCUACAAUGGCACAGUGGACUGACAGCUCCUCCGAGGAGGGCCAGAGGGGGCUGACGAUAAGUCGGAGACUGAUACGCCCUGGACAGCUGCUCGACUGGAUCACAGCUCCCUAGAGGGACAAGCAAAGACACCUUCCUGUGAGCCUGGGCCAGGAGCCCAUUGCCUGCACGGGAAGGCAGCCAGAGUUCCACCUGGCUUCUGGGCCAUAGCCACACCAGGCCGCCACCCCUCCAAGCCCAGGAAAGGCCUGGGACUUUGACACUCUCAGCUUUCCACACCACAUCCAGCUUGCUGACUCGGGUGAGCUGCUGGGGGUCUAGGUUGUCUCUCCCUUCCAGGAAGGCUGAGCCUCCAGCCUGGCCAGAGGAGAAGGAUCUUGGGAGUAUCAGAGUGUGCAAAACCAACACGCGCUCUGGCUUUUGUCGUGUUGAUCAUUUUUAUACAAAAUAAAAAGAUCAUGCAUUUAUGGUAUAGCUCUGAUUACUGCGAAUUAUCUGCCUGAUGUCUGUCCUUGCACAGGGGUGUUGGUGAUGGGAUUAUUGAGAUGCCUGCCGAAGGCACAUAGUUGCAGAUGUCAGUUUUCCAAUUCUGUCUGUGUUUGUUUAGUACUUUUGUAAUGAAAAGGGAAAAGAUUGGGAUUGAAAGUAAAGAUUAAACAAGA